rnacentral:rRNA from 1 species
CAUGUCCUUUUGAUAUAUAUAUAUAAGGUCUAACCUGCCCUAUGAUUAAUGUAUUAAAUGGCCGCGGUAUUUUGACCGUGCAAAGGUAGCAUAAUCAUUAGUUUUUUAAUUGAAAGCUGGAAUGAAGGGUUGAAUGAGAAAAUGACUGUCUUUAUGAUAUUUAAUUAGAAUUUUAUUUUUAAGUUAAAAAGCUUAAAUUUAAUUUGUAGACGAGAAGACCCUUUAGAGUUUUAUAAAAAUUUAUUUUAAAUUUUUUAGUAAUAAUUUAAUUUUAUAUAUAAAUUUUUAUUUGAUUGGGGUGAUUGAAAAAUUUAAAAAACUUUUUUUUUUAUAUAACAUUUAUAUAUGAAUAAUUGAUCCAUAAAUUAUGAUUAUAAGAUUAAAUUACCUAAGGGAUAACAGCGUUAUUUUUUUUGAGAGUUCUAAUCGAAAGAAAAGUUUGCGACCUCGAUGUUGGAUUAAAAUUAAAUUAUGGUGUAGAGGCUAUAACUUUA